UACAGAGGUCCCAAGCGUUGUUCGGAUUCACUGGGCGUAAAGGGUGCGUAGGUGGUGAGGUAAGUCGGAUGUGAAAUCUCCGAGCUCAACUCGGAAAUUGCAUUGGAAACUACCUUGCUUGAGGGUUGGAGGGGGGACUGGAAUGCUUGGUGUAGCAGUGAAAUGCGUAGAUAUCAAGCGGAACACCAGUGGCGAAGGCGAGUCCCUGGACAACACCUGACGCUGAGGCACGAAAGCCAGGGGAGAAAACGGG
rnacentral:rRNA from 1 species